CACGGUUCCAGCGCGAUAGCCGAGCAUCAUGACAGAAGUCUGUCGGCCGCUCCACUUAUGUGUGCCUUGCGUGGGGCACCUUGCCAUCUAUCGCCCACCAUCCCUCUUCCCCUCCAGACGCCCUGCAGCAUGAACUGGUGACCACUCAGCGCCUCCUGGGAGAACUUGAUGUUGGUGAUUCGGAAGAAAAUGUGCAGGUGCUGGACUUACUGAGCGAACUCAAGGACGUGACGGCAAAAAAGGACCUUGAGCUCCGAAGGAGCUUUGCCCAGGUGCUGGAACUCUCCGCAGAGGCAAGCAAAGAGGCAGUCUUGGCAAACCAGGAAGUCUGGGAAGAGACCCAGGGCAUGGCGCCCCCCAGCCGGUGGUAUUUCAAUCAAGACAGUGCCUGCAGAGAAUCUGGGGGAGCACCCAAGAACACGCCCCUGUCUGAGGAAGACAACCCGGGUGCCUCGUCAGUCCCCACUCAGGCCAUGUUCAUCAGCCCAAGCGAAGAUUUUUCUUCAAGCAGCCAGGGAGAAGUCCCGCCCUCUGUCUCUCGUUCAGGGAGGGACUUGUCAUGACUCAUGCUUACAUUCAGGAUACUUGAGCACUUUAUAUACUACCGUAGCACUGUAGCUAUUUUUUAUGUGAUAAUCUUGUUUGAUAAAACAGUAAACCUGUUUUGCAGUUGAA
rnacentral:sRNA from 1 species